AAUUUUGUUUUGAAUUUCGGGGGAAAAUAAUGCAGUGGACUAAUAGACAGAAAAUGAAUUUGCUGUUUGUUCUAAAGGAAUCUCUUGUACUAUGUUCUAUUUUUGAUGAUUUUUUUCUUCUGGAAAAUUGCAGUUACCACAGUAAUGCAUUUAUUGCUUGCCGUGCGCUUCAUAUUGCAAACAAGCUAAAUACAUCAUCCACAUUUCCCCUUCUGGAGCUUUUCUUCAAGCAUCAGUUUUACUGCAGGUCCACCUCAACAUUUCUUUUGUUCAAACAGCUACGAUUUCUGCUUGGAGGUUCUCUUUGCACUAUUAAACAAUUGCCAUACCUAAUGAAUGUGUUGUCAUUAACAAAUAUUUCUUGUUUUUUUCUUUUUUUCGAAGGGGGGUGGGGAGAGGGGGGGUCCCCUCCUUUUAAGAAUAAUUAAAAGUCAAAUCAUGUCAUUUCAAUACAGUUCUAAUUGUACGAAAUCCAUUAUGUAGUACUUCUAGUUUCUGUUCUA